rnacentral:tRNA from 1 species
GCUCGUGUGGCGGAAUUGGCAUACGCAACGGACUUAAAAUCCGUCGAAUUUUAUUCAUGUGGGUUCAAGUCCCACCACGAGUACCA